GCUCGCUUCGGCAGCACACAUUAAAAUUGGAACAAUACAGAGAAGAUUAGCAUGACCGCUGCACAAGGAUGACACACAAAUUCACAUAGCGUUCCAUAUUAAA